CCCUUAGAUGUUCUGGGCCGCACGCGCGCUACACUGAUGCAUUCAACGAGCCUAUCCUUGACCGACAGGUCCGGGUAAACUUUGAAUCUGCAUCGUGACGGGGAUAGAUUAUUGCAAUUAUUAAUCUUCAACGAGGAAUGCCUAGUAGGCGCAAGUCAUCAGCUUGCGUCGAUUACGUCCCUGCCCUUUGUACACACCGCCCGUCGCUCCUACCGAUUGGGUGUGCUGGUGAAAUGUUCGGAUCGGCCGUUUGUCGCGGUUUCCGCGUCAUGUGGCUGAGAAGUUCAUUAAACCCUCCCACCUAGAGGAAGGAGAAGUCGUAACA
rnacentral:rRNA from 1 species